rnacentral:misc_RNA from 1 species
CGCUACCAUCAGAAACCGAAGGAAGACGCGAAGACAAAAACGAGAUAAAAAACGGGGAACCGUUGUAAUCGGUAAUUUUCGAAAAGUAAACGAAAGAAGCUCACGAACAUGGCAGUGGAAGUCGACGAGAAGGACCUGAAAGCUGCCGGCGCCGAGCUGUUGACUGAUGACGGUCGCCGUGGACUGCGUAUCCAUGGCUGGGAGAUCUUUUCCAGCAAGGGCUCCAUUCUCAACUCCUCCACUCUUCUACAAUGGGAACAAAAGCUUCAGACAUCUCACUUACCAGAGAUGGUUUUUGGGGACAGUUCUUUAGUUCUUAAACAUGAGAAUAGUGGCACCAAAAUCUAUUUCAAUGCAUUUGAUGCCCUUACUGGCUGGAAGCAGGAAGCUUUGCCACCAGUAGAAGUUCCUGCGGCCGAAAAAUGGAAAUUCAGAAGCAAACCGUCCCAGCAGGUGAUACUAGAUUACGACUAUACAUUCACUACACCAUAUUGUGGAAGUGAAACAAUCGAGGUAGACUCCAAGAAGAAUGAAAGUGGGGAAAUCUUGGCGACAAGCUCAAGCCUCUGUUGGGGGGACUGCAAGGAGCAAAUUGAUGUGGUUUCCCUGUCAUCAAAAGAGCCUAUUCUUUUCUAUGAUGAGGUAGUCUUGUAUGAAGAUGAACUUGCUGAUAAUGGAGUGUCCCUUUUAACUGUGAAAGUGAGAGUCAUGCCCAGUUGUUGGUUUCUUCUUUUGCGAUUCUGGCUUAGAGUUGACGGAGUCUUGAUGAGAUUAAGGGACACUCGCAUGCAUUGCGCUUUUGGUGAUUGCACUGGCCCUGUCAUUCUUCGAGAAAGCUGCUGGAGAGAAGCCACCUUUCAGUCUAUCUCUGCUAAAGGUUAUCCUUCUGAUUCUGCAGCAUAUAGUGAUCCAAGCAUCAUCAGCCAGAGGCUUUCUGUGAUCAUGCAUAAGACACAAAAGCUCCAAGUCCAUGGUCAUUUGUAAAGCUGAAGGUAAUCUUGAUGCAAAAUGAUCUAUAUUGUUACCAAGUUGUGGUCAUAUAGAAUUCAGUUCUUUCAGGUGGAUUACAUUUGUACAUGCUUUUUUCCCCCAUGUUAAUUCAGUAAGCUGUUUUGAUGAAUUCAUUUGUGGAGAGAAAAAUUGACAAAAGUGAUUGUGCAAACUAAGAAUUAAACUAAAAUGCCUUACUUUUAUGUUUAUAUUUAUUUCAUGGUUUCCAUGGCAUUGACAGAAAUAAAUGCAAAAACACAACUAGGAAUACAUAAUGUCCUUGGAGAAACUGAAGUGUUUAUGAAGCAUUUAGAUAACAUCUAAGAAAUAGAAGUGUUGGAAGAGAAAUUGGAAUUUGUUAGUGUGUAAGAGGAG